rnacentral:rRNA from 1 species
AGCGAACGCUGGCGGCAGGCCUAACACAUGCAAGUCGAACGGAUCCUUCGGGAUUAGUGGCGGACGGGUGAGUAACACGUGGGAACGUGCCCUUUGGUUCGGAACAACUCAGGGAAACUUGAACUAAUACCGGAUGUGCCCUUCGGGGGAAAGAUUUAUCGCCAUUGGAGCGGCCCGCGUCUGAUUAGCUAGUUGGUGAGGUAACGGCCCACCAAGGCGACGAUCAGUAGCUGGUCUGAGAGGAUGAUCAGCCACACUGGGACUGAGACACGGCCCAGACUCCUACGGGAGGCAGCAGUGGGGAAUCUUGCGCAAUGGGCGAAAGCCUGACGCAGCCAUGCCGCGUGAAUGAUGAAGGUCUUAGGAUUGUAAAAUUCUUUCAGCGGGGACGAUAAUGACGGUACCCGCAGAAGAAGCUCCGGCUAACUUCGUG